GACGAACGCUGGCGGCGCGCCUAACACAUGCAAGUCGAACGAGAGAGAAGGAGCUUGCUUCUUUGAUCGAGUGGCGAACGGGUGAGUAACGCGUGAGGAACCUGCCUCAAAGAGGGGGACAACAGUUGGAAACGACUGCUAAUACCGCAUAAGCCCACAGGUCGGCAUCGACCAGAGGGAAAAGGAGCAAUCCGCUUUGAGAUGGCCUCGCGUCCGAUUAGCUAGUUGGUGAGGUAAUGGCCCACCAAGGCGACGAUCGGUAGCCGGACUGAGAGGUUGAACGGCCACAUUGGGACUGAGACACGGCCCAGACUCCUACGGGAGGCAGCAGUGGGGAAUAUUGCACAAUGGGGGAAACCCUGAUGCAGCGACGCCGCGUGGAGGAAGAAGGUCUUCGGAUUGUAAACUCCUGUUGUUGAGGAA
rnacentral:rRNA from 1 species